CUCUCUGAGACUAGCAGACGCUCUUUGCUGAAGGGAGGUGUAGGAGGGUCGUGGCCAUCCUCGUUAGUCUCUCCUGUGUGAAUACCCUGUAGGGAGAGAUCCUUAGUUUAUGUGCCGCUAGUGCGGACAGGGCAUCCUCCUCCCUGUGUGUGUGAUUGGAAAAUGGGUGGGGGACAGUCUAAGGAUUCCCUCUCACCCACUAAGGGUACCCCAGCUUAUUGGUUCAUGUACGUACAUUAUGGUACUAAAACCUGCAGGUAUUUAGAGAAUUGAAAUCAUUACACGUGUGAAAAUUCAUCUAAACAAUGCCCACUAGAAGGUACCUUCAAUCUAGAUAAGAUCAUACAUCUCAGAGGAGCUUUUAAUCACCAAAAAGCCUCUGACACAAUGGGAGCAAUUUGUCUAUUGAGGAAAGGAACGGGUUAAUUUGAAAUUCAGCUUGGUCCAGAGAUAGAGAAAGUUAAUCUGCGUUCAAGGUCAAGAAUCAAUGCAGACCAGGCUAAGUACAAAGAGAAACUGCUUUCAGCCCCAGCUGACUGUGAAAAAAUAUAGACAUAGUCAAACCAAAGGCAAUACAAGUUACAGUGCUGAGAUUACAUUUGCAAAGCUUAACUGUCCAGUGAGAUCCAACAGUCUGCCUUUGCGACCCUGGAGCUGGCGUGGUUUGGGGAAGCUGAAGAAGCCACAGGCAGCCGGCCUGGACUGGAAUCACUGAAAAGAUGCCCCAGGAGACCUCAGGGUGUAAAAGAACUGCCCUCCCAAGAGAGGAAGCAAGUUGGAGAUUGCACAGCACCUUCUCUGAACGUUAUACACAGACGUGGCCAGUCUGGACGUACGUGUAUCACUGGGUGUUUGAAAGCAGGAGUUAGAAGUAAAAGGCAAUCAAAGUCUGGGAAAGUUAAUUGUGUCCCUUUUUACAUAAGAAUUUUUAAGCUGUGGAUAGCUUGGAUCUGGAAGCAAGCCAGAAAGCAUCUGUAUUAAUGCAAUUUUCUAACUAAGGUAGAAGCCACUGAAACCUGGGCUGCCUAUGAAACAAAUACAAGGAAAUAUGGGGUAAUAUGGGGUAAUUCCUCUGUUUUGUCUAAAAUCAACAAGAGUAUGUGUGAAGCCAAGAAGGGGAGAAGGAAAAAGAACAGAACGAGUUAACUGAGGAAAAAUAGCUAGCAAGCUCAGUCCAAAGAUAAGAUGCUGGCACCAUCCAAGGACACUGCCCACAGCUAAGACUUGGCUGAUAGCCAAGAAAAGGGGGGCCUGAAUGUGCCCAAGCAACUAUGAGAUCUUCAAAACACUGCCAGGCAUUAAUGAAAUGUGUUAGGUUUCUUUUCUCACAGAUAAAAGAAGUGCUACCCAAAGACCCUAGCAGCCCUGCCAUUCAUUGAAACAAGGAGACUGAGUCUACGUAAAGUCCAUCAACGAAAGACUGCUUUGGCUCCACACUGGAAAGGCCCUUUCCAAGUCCUGUUGACCACCACCACCACUGUGAAGUGCCAAGGACUACCUGCCUGGACCCAUGUUUCUCACUGUAAAAAGACCCCUCCACCUCGGGAGGACUCUCCGACUGAUGAUAAGCCUAUUUCUCCUUCUAGCUCUGCUGUGUCUUCUGGACAGCAGGAAAAAGAAAGAAAGAAAAAAAGACAAGGUGAAGUACUAGUAACCUCUCCCUUGUCCACUGACAGACCUACUGUGCCUCUGGAUUUUUCUAGAAGAAGCAAAACCAUUACAGGGUGAUGUGCUAGUAACCUCUCCCCUGUAUGAUGCUAAACCACUCUUUCAGGAAAAGAGAAGAAGGAACACUUGCUUCACUGAAACCACAAAGUCCAGGGAUUCCUGACUACAAGAGACAUUAAGAACUGACCCUGGUGAAGAAACAAAGAAUUAUACGCUGGCAGGAAGAAACUUGUGGGACCCAUGCUUGGGAACGUGGUAUUGAUUGGAUUUUGGGGUUUAUUCUACAGACUGCGCCCUGUGUUUUGGAUAAGUCCUUCAGCAUGUAUUGCCCUCCCUAAUUGGAUUUUAAAUGAUAAGUACCAAAGGCACCUUGUUGCCAUUGCCCCUGCCAUCUUCUCCAUUACACUAUUACCCCGUAACACAUCCAAAUACAGACCAUGCCAUAUAUUUGAUAAAACCAAUGACUAAGGCCUUCACACUUCAGUGAUUUAUUUAAAUAUUGUUUGAAAAAAUAUAUUUUUAAGGUUCAGGAUAUCCCAUAUAAGUGAACAAUUGAAUGGAUCAGUGGAGAUAAAAGUAUAUAUCACUACCAGUGAACCCCAAGAAUUUAUAAUUGCUCACAGGGGGCUGCCAUUAGAUUAGCACAACAGAGGGCUUGGGUUAUUUCCUCUAGAAAGAAGAGAGACUUGACCGGAUCCCUUUGGGAUGGGGCCAAUAAUGCAGCAGCAGUUUGGAAUAUUUUUAAGAACCAAGAACAUGAUGAGAAAUUGGGGCAACUAGAGAAGGCCAUUGGCCUUGUUUCUGGAGCACAACUAACCCAGGUACAGGCUGGAGUUGGUGAGUUACAUGUUAUCUCCGCCCUUAGUUCUAUGACCCAGAAAUUGCUGACAGAGAUGGUAUUGAAUAUCACUGAGGCUGGGAAGGCAUUGCAGUGGGAUCUAGCAUGCUCAGAGAUUCAGGAUUUCUUGAAUGACCAGCUAAUGGCCAUUCGGAAUGAUCUAGAGCACCAGGCUUGGCCCACUGCCCUUAGACACAUCAGGAGUACCAUCUGAUCUGUGGCCAUGGAGACAUACUUGGAAACUUUCUGGGUGGAAGAGUGGACAUUCUCAGUGCUCCUUCCAAGCAUAUGGACCAGUUCAGGGGGUGUGGGCUCCCACAUACCGAAUCCUGCCGGGUCCAUGGGGAGGAUGCAUGUGGGAUUGGGUAAUUCACCGAGACAUCUGGGAAAUUAGACCUCCUGGUAUGCCCAAUCGAUUUUUAGUCAGUGCUCCUGGGAUUACAUCUGACAUUUGGAUGGGGUUAGGGAGUCAAUGGACAUUUUGCCCGUUACAACCCCCACAGCUUCAGUGUAUCCGUAAACUGAAGCCAGGAGAAGUUGUUACUCUUCAUGACUACGUUUGCUGGGAGGGUAGGGGACAAGGAACUACCCUAACAGGACACUUAUUUUUUAAGCUAAUGAUAGCUGUGUGUAUGUUAAAGCCACCACAUUGCAAGACAUACAUUUUAGUCUCACUACCACUGCAGGCAAUCAUAUUAUUUACUGGCCUGCAGAUAGAAUUUUGCAAGUAGUCCUUAGGUUCCAGAUACCCUUUAAUUGGACUAGUUUAGUACCUGAUCGAUUUCAAAAUUUGCUUUCACUGUUACCAGAGGUUCAGAAAAUCUCUGAAGUACAAGGGCAAAUUCACAUGCUUCAAAAUAUGUAUCAAGUUAAAAAGUAUGCCUUUCAGACAGCUUAUAGAGUAUCCACCUUAUGUAUUAAGUAUGAUGUAUUGUGUUAUAUGACUAAGAUUGUACAACAACCCCAUCAUAUUAUCGCUAUGGGAAUGUUAUUGCUUGUGUUGUGCAGGAGUAUGUUGUUGUUGUUGUUGUAAAGGACGUAAUAAUACCUUUCAUGUCCAUGCUCAUCAUGCAUUGUCAUUACAUCCAAUCAAAACCCCUAAGGUUGAAGCAUCUGAUGUAGAAUCUGAAUUCCGAGAUUUAAUGCAAAUAGAGAUUUGAAA